ensembl:lncRNA
UGAGCAUUACUGCAGUUGUAGCAGGAGCUGGAUUAGUCCUUACCUACUUGCAGUCCUCAUCUGUGUUUAGAUGAGACAGUGAUUAAAAUUUUCUCAGACAUGUCUGUACAGGAGGACAGCUGAAAAUUUAAGACCAAUUUCCUAAAAUUCAUUGACAGCUAGGAGAAGUGGCUGGCAUACCAGAAGGCUGUGCUGCAUUUCAGCAAGACCUGGACAGGCUGGAGAAUUAGGUGGAGAGGAAUGUGAUGAGAUUCAACAAGGGCAAGUGUAGUGUCCUUCACCUGGGAACAAAUAACUGCACACAUCAGCACAGGUCAGGGGCUGACCUGGUGGAAAGGAGCUCUGCAGAGAAGGACCUGGGUGUGUUGGUGGACAACAGGAUGACCAUGAGCUAGCAGUGGCCAAGAUGUCAUGUUUUCUUACCUGGAAGACCGAACCACUGAAGUUGCUGAACACGAUGUACAAACUGAAGAAACCUGGUCAUCAGCUGGCAAUUUCAGCUGAAAGGAACAUCUGAUUCCUAAAGUUACAGAACUUGUCUGAAAGAUUUGUUUGAAAAAGAGAAUUAACUGCUCAAUGUCCCAGCUGGAGCAGACCGCAGCACAGAAGUAUGAAACACUACAGGUGAUAAUUGAAGGACAUUCUGGGGAGGAGGAGAAGGUACCUGGGGGAUCCAAAACAUGGAGUGCAGCUCCCCAGGGAGCCCACAUGGAGCACUGGAAGAAUCAGUAACCUGAGGAGAGAAACUCACUGCACACAAUGAAUGAUAACCUAUACUCAACAGUGUGAAAGAGCAAGAGAAAAGAUGGGGUUCAAAGUGCAACUCUACAAGAAGGGCAAGCUUCCAGCCUGAUAUGGCAGCAAGACAUCUCUCACUCAGGAUCUGCAAAAGCAACCUUCCCUGGUGUCAGGAUAUGAACAACCUUUCCUCAGCAUACCCAGGGGCUACCCUGCUCUCCUCAGCCUUGCAUGCUUCUAGGUGUAGCCAAAACUCUGCUUUGUGUAAACAGUAUACGUCAUUCAGUGUGUAACGGCACUUGUGCUUUAGGGUAGUAUCUUGCCUAGCCUCCAUCUGAAGGUAUGAACCUCCUCUGUUCCUGUGCCACAUGUCCCAGCCUCAUUCAGGUGUUUCAUGUCCCACCCAACUUGUAGAAACAGCAAGUUACUUGGGAUAGAAAUAUACAUGUGUUCAAGCAACUACGCAGAAUCAGUAGAUAGUUGAAAACAGUAGCAGUAGUCUCUUUUUGCCUCAGCUCCCCAUCUUCAGAACAGUGGUUAAAAUGCAUUAGUUAAUUCUUGAGAACCAUGGAUACACAGCAGUAAAAGCCCUGCAGGAUCCCAAAGAGAGGUACAAGUAGAAUCAUAGAGUCACAGAAUUGCUCAGGUUGGAAAAGACCUUAAAGAUCAUCAAGUCCAACUACAACCGAACCAUACAACGCUAACUCUAACAACCCUCCACUAAAUCAUGUCCCUAAGCACCACAUCCAAACGGUUUUUAAACACAUCCAAGGAUGGUGACUCAACCACCUCCCUGGGGAGCCUAUUCCAGUGCUUAACAACCCUUUCUGUAAGGAAGUUUUUUCUGAUAUCCAACCUAAACCUACCCUGGUGCAACUUGAGGCCAUUUCUCCUCAUCCUGUCACCUAUGAGAUCAACUCCACUCUUGCUGUACGCACCUUUCAGAUACUGGAAGAGAGCAAUAAGGUCUCCCCUCAGCCUCCUCUUUCCCAGACUAAACAGCCCUAGGUCCCUCAGUCGUUCCCCGUAGGGCAUAUUCUCCAAGCCCUUCACAAGCCUUAUGGCCCUUGUUUGGACCUGCUGCAGCACCUCAGUGUCCUUUCUGUAUUGAAGUGCCCAAAACUGAACAUAGAACUCAAGGUGAGGCCUCACCAAUGCUGAGUACAGGGGCAGGAUUUCUUUCCUAGUCCUGCUCACCACACUAUUCCUGAUACAAGCUAGGAUGCCAUUGGCCUUCUUGGCCACCUGGGCACACUGCUGGCUCAUAUUCAGCUGACUAUCCAUCAGUACACCAAGGCCCCUUUCUGUCAGGCAGAUUUCCAGCCACUCACUCCCAAGCCUGUAGGGUUGCCUGGGAUUGUUGUGACCAAAAUGCAGGACCCAACACGUGGCCCUUUUGAAACUCAUACAGUUCACCUUGGCCCAUCAAUCCAGUCUAUCCAGGUCUCUCUGUAGUGCCUUUCUCCCCUCUGGCAGAUCAACACUCCCUCCCAACCUGAUGUCAUCUGCAGACUUACUGAGGGUGCACUCAAUCUCCUCAUCAAGAUCAUUAAUAAAGAUGUUAAA